GGACGAACGCUGGCGGCGUGCCUAACACAUGCAAGUCGAGCGAGGAGAUCCUUCGGGAUGAUCCUAGCGGCGGACGGGUGAGUAACACGUGGGCAACCUGCCUCAUAGAGAGGAAUAGCCUUCCGAAAGGGAGAUUAAUACCUCAUAACAUUGCAGUUUCGCAUGGAACAGCAAUUAAAGGAGUAAUCCGCUAUGAGAUGGGCCCGCGGCGCAUUAGCUAGUUGGUGAGGUAACGGCUCACCAAGGCGACGAUGCGUAGCCGACCUGAGAGGGUGAUCGGCCACAUUGGGACUGAGACACGGCCCAGACUCCUACGGGAGGCAGCAGUGGGGAAUAUUGCACAAUGGGGGAAACCCUGAUGCAGCAACGCCGCGUGAGUGAUGACGGCCUUCGGGUUGUAAAGCUCUGUCUUCAGGGACGAUAAUGACGGUACCUGAGGAGGAAGCCACGGCUAACUACGUGCCAGCCGCCGC
rnacentral:rRNA from 1 species